rnacentral:rRNA from 1 species
GACGAACGCUGGCGGCGUGCUUAACACAUGCAAGUCGAACGGUAAGGCCCCAGCUUUCUGGGUUACACGAUUGGCGAACGGGUGAGUAACACGUGGGUGUCCUGCCCCUCACUUCGUGAUAAGACUGGGGAACUCGGUCUAAUACCGGAUACGAUCGCUCCGUGCGGGUGUGUUGGAAAGUUUGUCGGGGUGGGAUGGGCCCGCGGCCUAUCAGCUUGUUGGUGUGGUAAGUGCCUACCAAGGCGGCGACGGGUAGCCGGCCUGAGAGGGGGGACGGCGACAUUGGGACUGCGGCACGGACCAGACGCCUACGGGAGGCAGCAGUGGGGAAUAUUGCACAAUGGGCGGAAGCCUGAUGCAGCGACGCCGGGUGCGGGAUGACGGCCUUCGGGUUGUAAACACCUGUCACCAUAGACGAAGGUUUUUUGACGGUAGCUGGAGAAGAAGCACCGGCUAACUACGUG